rnacentral:rRNA from 1 species
CACGUAGGGCGCGAGCGUUGUCCGGAAUUAUUGGGCGUAAAGAGCUCGUAGGCGGCCUGUUGCGUCCGCUGUGAAAAGCCCCGGGGCUUAACCCCCGGGUCGGCAGUGGAUACGGGCAGGCUAGAGGUAGGUAGGGGAGAAUGGAAAUUCCCGGUGUAGCGGUGAAAUGCGCAGAUAUCGGGAGGAACACCGGUGGCGAAGGCGGUUCUCUGGGCCUUACCUGACGCUGAGACUCGAAAGCGUGGGGAGCAAACAGG